GAUGAACGCUGGCGGCGUGCCUAACACAUGCAAGUCGAGCGGACGGACGUGUUUCGGGCUUCUCUUAUGUUGCCGGCGGACGGGUAACUCAUACGUAGCUAACCUAUCUAUAAGGCUUAGAUACCGGCAGGAGACCGUAACUAAUACCAGAUACUCUUGUGAACCGGAGGGUUCUAGAGUGAUAGGGCGUUUUGCUGUGACUUAGAGGCGUAUCCGCGCUGCAUUAGCGAGUUGGUAAGGUAACGGCUUACCAAGGAAACGAUGCAUAGCCGACCUGAGAGGGGGAACGGGGACAGUGGAACUGAGACACGGUACAGAGUCCGACGGGAGGCAGCAGUAGGGAAUGUUGAGAAAUGGGCGAAAGCCUGACGGAGAGACGCCGCGUGAGUGAUGAAGGUCUGCGGAUCGUAUAACUCUGUUAGUAGGGAAGAACAUAUGUGUAAGUAACGGUGCAUAGUUUGACGGUACCUAGUCAGAAAGCACCGGCUAACUACGUG
rnacentral:rRNA from 1 species